rnacentral:lncRNA from 1 species
GGACGCUGGGCGGGACUUUCGGCUUUGCGUGCAGGAGGUUCUUUGAAACUUUCUGGAUCUGUCAGUCUGGUUCACAGAAAACUGGUUUUAUCAGUAUUGGUCAUGGCAGGAAAAUGGUAGAGUUGAGGCGUUUUUCCUCCGUCACGGAGACAGAGCUGAGGUUUUCGACAGCCCGUGUGAUCUAAUCCAAGCUUCGAGGAGGGAUGGCCACGUCCCAGGGCCUGGCUGGCCACUGGAGCCUGAUGGUGAUUGUGGAGGCUGCUGGUGGAGCCCUGCCCCAGGUUUCCCAGUAUUCAGUGAAACAUGCUAACCAGAAAGAAGACUGUUUAUCCUUUGAGGAUGUGGCUGUGGACUUCUCCUGGGAGGAAUGGACACUGCUUGAUGACUCUCAAAGGAUGCUGCACCAGACUUUGAUGUCAGAAAUAUGAACACUCAUGUCUUUACUUGACUUAUACCUUCUGGGAUCCGUGACAUGACUCAGCUGGAGUCUUGGGGAGAGCCCUCUGUGCCUGCAUUGAGAUUCCUGACUCCAGGUUGUUGGAUCAAAGUGGAGAGUGAAAUGUCACCCUUUGAGCAGAGUCUGUCUGCAGAAGGUGCCAGUCCAUCCACGCUGCAGCAGCACAUGCUGUGCUGUGCUGUGCUGAGACACCCUUGCUAAGCAUGGACAAUGUGAUGAUCCUCCAGACCUCCUAGGGUCUUCUAAAGCAUCAAGUGACUUACACUAUUGGGGAUACCCCCACAAACACUGAGAGUAGAGAGGCCAUUCAGAGUGAGAAGAACUGCAUACGCAGCGACAGUGGCAAAACUUUUACUAGCACAUCCCACCUCAAUCGACACCGGAAGAUACACACUGGAGAAAAGCCUUUUCAGUGCAGGGAGUGUGGGAUGUCCUUCAGCCAAAAAGCCUUUCUUAUUAAGCAUUUCAGAAUUCACACCGCAGAGAAGCCAUUCAGGUACAGUGAGUGUUGCAAAACCUUCAAGCACAACUGCUACCUUGUUGCUCAUCAGUGAGUUCACACAGGAGUGACACUGUUACAUGGGCUAAAUGUGGCAAGUCAUACAUGAACAGAUCCAGCCUUUUAUAUCAUUAUUGGGUCCAUACUGGAGAAAAUCCAUAGAAGUAUACUAUAGUAGUUUGAAUAGGUUUGGCCCUAUAGAUUCAUGUGUUUGAAUGCUUGG